rnacentral:rRNA from 1 species
GACAGAGGUGCCAAGCGUUAGGCGGAAUCACUGGGCUUAAAGCGUGUGUAGGCGGGCGAUCAAGUACCUUGUAAAAUCCCACGGCUCAACCGUGGAACUGCUGGGUAUACUGGUUGUCUUGAGCCAGCUAGGGGCGAGCGGAACAGACGGUGGAGCGGUGAAAUGCGUAGAUAUCGUCUGGAACGCCGAAGGUGAAAACAGCUCGCUGGGGCUGCGCUGACGCUGAGACACGAAAGCCAGGGGAGCGAACGGG